UAUUCUUUACACAUUAUGUGUGAUUUUGCCUUUUUGGUGGGUGUUGUUCAUGAAAAACUGACUGCGUCAGUCGAUUGGUAUGGGUGGCGGGUCUGUUAGAUGUAAACUUGUAAGUUUUCCUGGAAAAGGGCUUACCUGAUGUAGCACGCCGAGGUUGCCCGGGGAGGGGGCGGAGACGGGGUUAAAGCAGCCACAGCUGGGGCUGAUUUCAUCCCCUAUUUCUUCCCCGGUGCCCAGCAGUAGAGGGAAGAGACCGAGAUGACCGCCGACCCGAUCCCUGACACAAAGCCCACAUCCCGAUCGACCCGACUCUCCCAGCCUGCACGAAACCUUUCCCUCCCUGUUCCCUGCUCCCCCUUUCCUAUCUCCGUCCUUCUCCGCUGUCUAGCAAAUACAAGCCCACGGCUACGGGCAACUGCAUCUCCUGUCUCCUGCCUCGUCUCUUACACCUGAUAAAUCAAUAGUUAGAGGCUGGCACAGGAAAUUAUGAGAUGCAGCUGUUGCCUCAGCAAAAAAAGAAAGAAAAAAAAUCCAACUGAGCAACUACUUUUUCUGAAUUAACCGGGGCUGUUUGGAAUGGAAAUUGACCAUAAUGAUAUUAGGGAGCAUGGAGCUCUCUAGUUGUUAAUGAAUCUUCAGUCUCCAGGUUACAGCCUGAUGGCUGAGAGCGUCUCCACCACCAAGAAGAAGAUUCUGACAUACCACCGCAAUGUGGAAGCCUUCCGUUUCAUGUAUGCCAAGCAGAGUCUAAUGGGUGACCCGCUGUACCUGAACAUCACAGAUAACUCUGCACUUGAGUUUGUCAUCGUGUGGAACAAAACCAUGACAGAAGGUUCUGCCCAUUAUCCGGACUCAGCAGAACUCGCCCAGAUGCGCAACAUGCUUGCCUUCCAUGGGGCGAUCAUUGGUGCGCAUGAGCAGUCACGGGCACAACUGGAAGACAAGAGGCUGCAUCAAGUCCUGCAAACUGCAGGGAUUAUCCAGUCCCCCGUAACAACCACGCCCGUGGUUCCAGCCGGUCCUGCACCACCCGCACCUCCCGAGGAAUUUGGACCUGAUACAACCAUCGCCAUUCCUGAGGAGUACGAUGGCUCACUCAAUCAGUGCCAGGGCUUCCUGAUGCAGUGUGAAUUGGUGUUUGAAUGCUCCCUACGCAUGUACCAGACCGAUGAAGCCAAAAUAGCAUUUGUGCUUUCCUUAUUGGUAGGUCCAGCUCCUGCCAAAUUAAUUUAGUAUGCGUGUUUUGUGUUAAAUUCCAACAGUUCAUCACAUGUUCAACCAAUGUGUGUGUCAUGUAACUGACAUUAGAAAAAUGGCCUUUUAAGUGAUUCAUUUUGGCAGCUUUGGCUCUAAGGUUCUGUCCCAGCGCACUGGAAUCCUCUUGAACAAUGAGAUGGAUGACUUCAGCUCCUCCAACAUCACCAAUGGCUUUGAUGUGGCACCUCCACCAAACAACUACAUCCGACCAGGUGAGAGAAGCUGGUUUUUGGUUGUCUGCAAGUCCUCAAAGCCC
rnacentral:lncRNA from 1 species